GGCAGUAAAAGUCGUAACAAGGUUUUCGUAGGUGAACCUGCGGAAGGAUCAUUACAGAGCUGCGACUCCCUCGGGAGCCAUCUCCACCCCUUGACUACCAAAUAUUGUUGCUUUGGCGGGCCGCGGCCCUGCCGCCGCCGGCCCCGGCUGGCGAGCGCCCGCCAGAGGCUUUUAAAAUCUUGCUUGCAAUGAGUCUGAGCGAUACAAAAAAUGCGAAAAACUUUCAACAACGGAUCUCUUGGUUCUG
rnacentral:misc_RNA from 1 species